rnacentral:rRNA from 1 species
AAGGCAGCUUACUAAGUACUAACUGACGCUGAUGGACRAAAGCGUGGGUAGCGAACAGGAUUAGAUACCCUGGUAGUCCACGCCGUAAACGAUGGAUACUAGCUGUUCGGGACCUUGAGUUCUGAGCGGCUAASCGAAAGUGAUAAGUAUCCCACCUGGGGAGUACGUUCGCA